CACUAUGCCUAGCCUUAAACAUUGAUGAUAGCUUACAAUUAUCAUCCGCCUGGGGACUACGAGCACCAGCUUAAAACCCAAAGGACUUGGCGGUGCUUUAGACCCACCUAGAGGAGCCUGUUCUAGAACCGAUAACCCCCGUUCAACCUCACCCUUCCUUGUUCUUCCCGCCUAUAUACCACCGUCGUCAGCUUACCCUGUGAAGGGCUAAUAGUAAGCAAAACCGGCAAAGCCCAAAACGUCAGGUCGAGGUGUAGCGUAUGGAAGGGGAAGAAAUGGGCUACAUUCACUGAUUUAGUGUAUACGAAUGACACCCUGAAACACGUGUCUGAAGGAGGAUUUAGCAGUAAGCAGAAAAUAGAGCGUUCUACUGAAACUGGCCCUGAAGCGCGCACACACCGCCCGUCACUCUCCCCGAGCUAAGACUCUCAAAUAAAUAAAUAACUAUACCUGCAAAGGGGAGGCAAGUCGUAA
rnacentral:rRNA from 1 species